rnacentral:rRNA from 1 species
UAGGGAAUCUUCCACAAUGGGCGCAAGCCUGAUGGAGCAACACCGCGUGAGUGAAGAAGGGUUUCGGCUCGUAAAGCUCUGUUGUUAAAGAAGAACACGUAUGAGAGUAACUGUUCAUACGUUGACGGUAUUUAACCAGAAAGUCACGGCUAACUACGUGCCAGCAGCCGCGGUAAUACGUAGGUGGCAAGCGUUAUCCGGAUUUAUUGGGCGUAAAGAGAGUGCAGGCGGUUUUCUAAGUCUGAUGUGAAAGCCUUCGGCUUAACCGGAGAAGUGCAUCGGAAACUGGAUAACUUGAGUGCAGAAGAGGGUAGUGGAACUCCAUGUGUAGCGGUGGAAUGCGUAGAUAUAUGGAAGAACACCAGUGGCGAAGGCGGCUACCUGGUCUGUAACUGACGCUGAGGCUCGAAAGCGUGGGGAGCGAACAGGAUUAGAUACCCUGGUAGUCCACGCCGUAAACGAUGAGUGCUAGGUGUUGGAUCCUUUCCGGGAUUCAGUGCCGCAGCUAACGCAUUAAGCACUCCGCCUGGGGAGUACGACCGCAAGGUUG